UCCCCUCUCCGUCUUCUUCAGAUCUCUCCAUCCCCUCUUUCAGAUCUCUCUCUCUACGACGACGACGCUAGCUCGAUCGCAAUUGCUCUAACUUCCGACGACGACGCCGGCUCGAUCUCAAAUUCCAUCGCCGACGACCUCCGGCUCGACCUCGACUUAAUCUCCAAUUUGACAACGGCUUCUUGCUCGACCUCGGUUACAUCUCCAAAUUCUUCAACGCCUACGCUCUACCGGUUUAUAUUGCAUAUGCAAAUAUUAAUCCCAAUCUAUGUCAUCUAUUGAGUUCAGAAAGUGGGUUGAAUCAUGGAGUAAUAAGCAUGUCCGCGGGGAUCAAAAUAUAUUGGUAAAUGCAGCACCCCCAGUUUGACCUUAUACCAGCCUAACAUCUCUAAUAUGCUCACUAUUUAGGUGAACUUUUAAGUAAAAUAGUCCAAAGUAAUUGAUGAUAUGCAUUCUGCUUUACUCUAUUCAAUAGCAUUGAGCUUGUUGAUUUGUAAAGACUUUCCUUCUGCCAAUCAGUGCUCAAGUAAUGUAAACAUUGCUUGCAGUUCACUUGAAAUACCUGGUACCUUGUAUGAUCUUUUUAUUAAACUUGAGAUUGAUGUGAGUAAACCAUUGUGCACAUCACUUGCAUGUACUAGACUUGGACUUCAUCAGAAUAGUUGUAGCACUAUGCAACGUAGUAAGUGUUGAAUUGCUGAUACCGAUAUAUUACGCUUGUAAUUGUUCAUUGUUUAAGCUUGGCUGCCAACCAAAAGAUUAAUUGUUGUACUAAAUAGAAUGUAAUUUUUGUUUC